rnacentral:rRNA from 1 species
CGGCGUGCCUAAUACAUGCAAGUCGUGCGAGAAAGUUCCGCUUCGGUGGAGCGAGUAAAGCGGCAAACGGGUGAGUAACACGUAAGUAACUUUCCUCUAAGUUGGGAAUACCCCUGCCAACGCGGGGUUAAUACCGAAUGCGGUCAGAAAGUCGCAUGGUUUUCUGACUAAAGGUGGCUUCGGCUACCGCUUAGAGAUGGGCUUGCGCACCAUUAGCUUGUUGGUGGGGUAAUGGCCUACCAAGGCUUUGAUGGUUAGCCGACCUGAGAGGGUGAUCGGCCACAUUGGGACUGAGAUACGGCCCAGACUCCUACGGGAGGCAGCAGUAGGGAAUUUUGCGCAAUGGACGAAAGUCUGACGCAGCAACGCCGCGUGAGGGAUGAAGGGUUUCGGCUCGUAAACCUCUGUUGAGUAGGAAGAAACGUCAUGGGGUUAAUACCCUCAUGGCCUGACGGUACUACUCGAGGAAGCUCCGGCUAACUACGUGCCAGCAGCCGCGGUAAUACGUAGGGGGCGAGCGUUGUUCGGAAUCACUGGGCGUAAAGGGAGCGUAGGCGGGAAGGUAAGUCAGAAGUCUAACACAUGGGCUUAACCCAUGUCCGGCUUUUGAUACUGCUUUUCUUGAGUAUGGGAGAGGAAGAUGGAAUUCCAGGUGUAGCGGUGGAAUGCGUAGAUAUCUGGAAGAACACCAGUUGCGAAGGCGGUCUUCUGGCCCAAUACUGACGCUGAGGCUCGAAAGCUAGGGGAGCAAACAGGAUUAGAUACCCUGGUAGUCCUAGCCAUAAACGAUGGACACUAGUUGGUGGAAGGAGUCAAUCUUUUCACUGACGAAGUUAACGGCAUUAAGUGUCCCGCCUGGGCGAGUACGCCCCGCAAGGGUGAACCUCAAAGGAAUUGACGGGGGCCCGCACAAUCGGUGGAGCAUGUGCUUUAAUUCGAUGCGACGCGAAGAACCUUACCUGGGUUUGACAUGGGGAUGAAACUCUCCAGAGAUGGAGAGCCUUCCUUCGGGAACAUCCUACACAGGUGCUGCAUGGUUGUCGUCAGCUCGUGUCGUGAGAUGUUGGGUUAAGUCCCGCAACGAGCGCAACCCUCGUCCUUAGUUGCCAUCAGGUAAUGCUGGGAACUCUAGGGAGACUGCCUGGUCACAACCAGGAGGAAGGUGAGGAUGACGUCAAAUCAUCAUGGCUCUUACGCCCAGGGCUAGACACGUGCUACAAUGGUUGGUACAAUGGGAUGCCACACUGCGAAGUGGAGCAAACCCCAAAAAACCAACCUCAGUUCAGAUUGGAGUCUGCAAUUCGACUCCAUGAAGGUGGAAUCGCUAGUAAUCGCGGAUCAGCAUGCCGCGGUGAUACGUUCCCGGGCCUUGUACACACCGCCCGUCAAGCCAUGAAAGGUGGGAGUGCCCGAAGUCGUGGCUCCAACCGCAAGGG